GAGGACGACGACAACGACUGCGACGGAGGAGGGUGGUUGGCCACCUAGCCAUCAAAAAACUACUUGCAUGACAACAUCUCUCAAACAUUAAAAACUCUGUAAUCAAACCAUGCAACUAAAUUAGCUUUUUUAAUAACUUUUUAUUUGGCCAAAUUAUCUGCAAUAUAAUUUUUUAAAAAACACACAAAAAUAAGCAGAUUGCAAACAUUAAAUUCACCUACCAACCAUUAUGCGCGUGUAAAUGGGAAGCGAAUCAUCCAUAUCCAUCCAGCCUGCUGCUUAGCUCUCAAAAUUCCCAUCCUCUUAAUUGUUUUCAAAAAUAGAUGGUGUCAAUUAAAUUGGCUUGGUUGAUCAUAUCAUUGUGCAGCCAUUGGAGAAAGCUUCUAACAGCUGCACAGAGAUGGCAUUGUAUUGUGUUUGAUCUGUAUAAAUUGAUUCCUGUUUUUGGAAUAGGUCACCCAAAAGGAAAG
rnacentral:lncRNA from 1 species